UGACCGCUGGCGGCGUGCCUACUACAUGCAAGUCGAGCGAACAGACGAGGAGCUUGCUCCUCUGACGUUAGCGGCGGACGGGUGAGUAACACGUGGAUAACCUACCUAUAAGACUGGGAUAACUUCGGGAAACCGGAGCUAAUACCGGAUAACAUGUUGAACCGCAUGGUUCAACAGUGAAAGACGGUCUUGCUGUCACUUAUAGAUGGAUCCGCGCCGCAUUAGCUAGUUGGUAAGGUAACGGCUUACCAAGGCAACGAUGCGUAGCCGACCUGAGAGGGUGAUCGGCCACACUGGAACUGAGACACGGUCCAGACUCCUACGGGAGGCAGCAGUAGGGAAUCUUCCGCAAUGGGCGAAAGCCUGACGGAGCAACGCCGCGUGAGUGAAGAAGGUCUUCGGAUCGUAAAACUCUGUUAUUAGGGAAGAACAAAUGUGUAAGUAACUAUGCACGUCUUGACGGUACCUAAUCAGAAAGCCACGGCUAACUACGUG
rnacentral:rRNA from 1 species